rnacentral:misc_RNA from 1 species
GGGGUGGUGUUUUUGACGCUUUCAUUGGUUGAUGUUGUUUCAGAUAAAGAUAGGAAAGGUGUGGUGUGGGAUUCACGAGACUCAAGCUGCUGUAAUAUCACUAGUUACUAUUGUGGCUUUUGCUCUCUUCAUUUAUUUACCUUCUGCUGUGAUAACUAUUUCCCGUUGUAUGUUCAAGUCUUUGCACACUGGACAUCGUUAAAUGUCUUUGUAAUGGUAAGGCCGAUCAAAUUGGAAUAAUUAUAUGUUUAAGGUCGAAAUACUAGCAUCAGCAGUGUCUUUAUAUUGAAUAAAAAUGAGACAGAUCGGAUUGGCAUUUGUUUA